CUUCGAGCGGUUGGUGAGAGGCCUGCGCAUGCCCAGAGUUCUCCCUCGCCAAACCCACGCGGGAGCCAGGAGCUGGGCUAACAGCAUCUCCUCCAAAUACUUCCAAUGGGGCAAUUGGCAAACUGAGGCCAGAGAGGCAGGAACUGGCCUGAGGCCACGACGUGGGCCGAGUCCAGAGGAGCUGGGAAGAUUCCACUUCUAGCCCCAUGUGAAAAAUGGAUCCGCCCUGAACCUGGAUGAGUCCCUCAGGGUGAGGGAGGUCACAGCAGACCCCCUGGAGAAGCCGCUGGAGCACCUGGUGCCGCCUUCCGGGCCAGCGACCUCUCCUAUGUCACCAGCUUCCUGUACACCUACCGAGCCUUCACUCCUGCCCAGCAGGCCCUGGAGCUGCUGUUCAAGAGGUCCAGCGUCACUUCCAGAAGCAGAGGUGGCUGCAACCCCCGUCUGUCGGAGGAGCCAUGUGCCGGAGCCGAGAGGUCCAGGCGGCCCCAGGGCCUGCGUCCGCCUUCAGCUCGAGCGCUCCCCCUACCGGCGGCUCCAGAGCGGCGCCGACACCAGCGCGGGUUCCAUUAGCACCUCCGGAGUGAGAGGAGGAGGCCGCUCAGGUCCUCCCCUGGGCCCGCCCCCGGGGCCAGCUCCCGGCCCAAACCUUCCACCUGCUUCCCAAAUAGGACUUCCCCCCUCCCCGUGAUGGGGUUUUUUGUCUUCAGUUCAGUUCAGUGGCUCAGUCGUGUCCGACUCUUUGCAACCCCGUGGACUGCAGCACGCCAGGCCUCCCUGUCCGUCACCAACUCCCGGAGUUCACCCAAACUCAUGUUCACUGAGUCGGUGAUGCCAUCCAACCAUCUCAUCCUCUGUCGUCCCCUUCUCCUCCCGCCUUCAAUCUUUCCCAGCAUCAGGGUCUUUUCCAGUGAGUCAGCUCUUCGCAUCUUUUUGUCUUGGGGCUUCUUUUUUUUUUUUC
ensembl:lncRNA